AUGCCAGCCGAGGAGAGAACAGUGCAGGGGGAAGGACCGGGUGUCACCCCCCAGCUGUGGGACGUGCAGAGGAAGGAAGUACAGGACGAGCUACAGCUCGGGCCUCCGCGGGUGGCUGUGAGCAUCAUGCAACCUCAUAGAUGCAGGCCGCUGGGUGUGGCACCUGGCACAGAGUGCGCGCUCGGUUCAGGUUGCUUAGCACUGCUGUUAUUCUCUUUAUGUGGUCCGUUUCCCCAUGACACACAAGACAGAAACAGCAGCCUCUUCGAAGGAGGAGCUGGAAGAAGAAAUAUGCCAAGAGUUAAGUUCUUCAUCUUUUUGGCUGUCUCUCCACAAAAACAUAUCCUAUAUCAUCUCUUCUGCUGGUGAUUGUGAUUCUCCCUGGUAAGAAACAGUCUUGUACCAGGGAUUGAUUGGGAAGACCAGGUUGCAAAUUUUGCUG
rnacentral:lncRNA from 1 species